rnacentral:rRNA from 1 species
ACUCCUACGGGAGGCAGCAGUGGGGAAUAUUGCACAAUGGGGGAAACCCUGAUGCAGCAACGCCGCGUGGAGGAUGACACAUUUCGGUGCGUAAACUCCUUUUAUAUGGGAAGAUAAUGACGGUACCAUAUGAAUAAGCACCGGCUAACUCCGUGCCAGCAGCCGCGGUAAUACGGAGGGUGCAAGCGUUACUCGGAAUCACUGGGCGUAAAGCGCGCGCAGGCGGUCUUUUAAGUUGGAUGUGAAAGCCUACGGCACAACCGUAGAACUGCAUCCAAAACUAUUAGACUAGAGUGUGGGAGAGGAAGAUGGAAUUAGUUGUGUAGGGGUAAAAUCCGUAGAGAUAACUAGGAAUACCAAAAGCGAAGGCAAUCUUCUGGAACACUACUGACGCUGAGGCGCGAAAGCGUGGGGAGCAAACAGGAUUAGAUACCCUGGUAGUCCACGCAGUAAACGAUGAAUGUUAGUCGUCGGGGGCCUCGUGUCUUCGGUGAUGCAGCUAACGCAUUAAACAUUCCGCCUGGGGAGUACGGUCGCAAGAUUAAAACUCAAAGGAAUAGACGGGGACCCGCACAAGUGGUGGAGCAUGUGGUUUAAUUCGAAGAUACGCGAAGAACCUUACCUAGCCUUGACAUUGAUAGAAUCCGGUAGAGAUACUGGAGUGCCUUCGGGAGCUUGAAAACAGGUGCUGCACGGCUGUCGUCAGCUCGUGUCGUGAGAUGCUGGGUUAAGUCCCGCAACGAGCGCAACCCUCGUCACUAGUUACUAACGGUUCGGCCGAGGACUCUAGUGAGACUGCCUUCGUAAGGAGGAGGAAGGUGAGGACGACGUCAAGUCAUCAUGGCCCUUACGGCUAGGGCAACACACGUGCUACAAUGGCCAGGACAAUGAGAAGCGAUACCGCGAGGUGGAGCAAAUCUAUAAACCUGGUCUCAGUUCGGA